GUCAGCGCAGCGUAAUAAUAGAAACUAACCAGGAUUCCCUUAGUAACGGCGAGUGAACUGGGAUGCCCAUAUAAAAUAUGUACCUCGCGUGCAUAAAUUAGCCCGUCGAUACUAUCCUAGCGUAUGUACCGGUCUUCGGGUCGGUACUCAAAUACGCGGGAAUUGUAGCAUCGUAAUAAAAAAAUAUACAGCACGCACACACACACACUGCCAACAUGCGUACCACUUGUAAACACACAGCGUCUCCGCGUUGGAAAGCAAGUCUAUAUCCUCUUUGGAUAUGCCAUAGAGUGUGACAGCCACGUUUCACCCUAAAGUACGCACACACACAUACACACGGCACGUGCGAGUGCAAUACGUAUAUAUUCUAUAACCUGAGUCGAGUUAUUUGGGACUAUAGCUCUAAUAGUUUGGUUGGUGGUAAUGACACAUCAAAGGCUAAAUAUUGGUUAGUCGAUGCAUAUUGCGGAGACCGAUAGCAUACAAGUACCGUAAGGGAACGAUGAAAAGCACCCUAUUGAGUUCACGGCGCAGACUCUGAUACUUUUUUGUAUCUUGUCCC
rnacentral:rRNA from 1 species